CACGGGAAAUUGGUGUCUGGAGAUAAAUGACAGGGGCCUGCCGCGGGGUAGGCUUCAGGGAUUGUGCCUUCUCGUUCUGUGUGCUCCACAGUCACUGAGCAUAGAAAACUUGUGAAGAUGGUUUCCUCUCUAGAAGGUGCUAGAAGAUAAACUUAGGAGCCGUGUUCUUUCUGUUACACCAUACUGACGAGACGGCAAGCUCCUUCCCCAAGAAAGAAGGCUGAUGGAGGUUCCAGACAUUUCCUCCUUCCUAAGGAAGAGAAGCAAACGACCAUGUUGUGGAGAAGGCCAUACGGCAGGGAAUGGCAGGACACCUCUAGAUGCCGAAGGCCUCAAUCCUAUAACUGUAAAGAACGAAUUCCACCGAACAACCGAUGAACUUGGAGGAGAAGCCCAACGUUCAGAUGAAUCCACAGCCCCGGCUGACAGCUUGAGGUCAGCCUGGGAAGACCCUGAACAGAGGACCUAGUUAAGCCGUGCCCAGACUUCUGACCCACAGAAACCAUGCGAUAACAAGGCCAGUGCUGUUUUAAGCCUCUAAGUUUACGGUAACAUGUUACACCCCAAUAGAAUAUUAAUACAGGGCAUAUGGGCCCAUGUUGCAGAAAUACCUGUUGCUAACAGAACUCAUGGGACGCUGUUUUCAGCUGUCGGUGAAAAUUCCA